CCCACCUAGCCAACGAUGGAUAGGGGUUCUGAGAGGAAGGUCCCCCGCAUUGGAACUGAGACACGGUCCAAACUCCUACGGGAGGCAGCAGUGAGGAAUAUCGGUCAAUGGACGAGAGUCUGAACCAGCCAAGUAGCGUGAAGGAUGAAGGUCCUACGGAUUGUAAACUUCUUUUAUAAGGGAAUAAACCCUCCCACGUGUGGGAGCUUGUAUGUACCUUAUGAAUAAGCAUCGGCUAACUCCGUGCCAGCAGCCGCGGUAAUACGGAGGAUGCGAGCGUUAUCCGGAUUUAUUGGGUUUAAAGGGAGCGCAGACGGGUCGUUAAGUCAGCUGUGAAAGUUUGGGGCUCAACCUUAAAAUUGCAGUUGAUACUGGCGUCCUUGAGUGCGGUUGAGGUGUGCGGAAUUCGUGGUGUAGCGGUGAAAUGCUUAGAUAUCACGAAGAACUCCGAUUGCGAAGGCAGCACACUAAUCCGUAACUGACGUUCAUGCUCGAAAGUGUGGGUAUCAAACAGGAUUAGAUACCCUGGUAGUCCACACGGUAAACGAUGGAUACUCGCUGUUGGCGAUAUACUGUCAGCGGCUUAGCGAAAGCGUUAAGUAUCCCACCUGGGGAGUACGCCGGCAACGGUGCAACUCAAAUGAAUUGACGG
rnacentral:rRNA from 1 species